GGGAGCUGCUCAUAUGCUGAGUCUCUGGGUCCUUCUCCAACCAGCUGGAAAUUCUGCAGGGCAAACAUCAAAGGAUUUCCAAGUCUGAAUCCUUAAUUGAUAAGCAUGGAAAUCUUGUCCAGGAGCCUGAGUGUUGAAACUCAUGACCUGAGAAUGGAAUUACUUACUUUGAAUCUGGCCUCCUGUCUGGUGUAACUGGAUGACCUUCCCUUGUAUUCCUUGUCAGUCAUGGUCAGACCUUGGGGUGAAAGAUGAGCACGUCCUUUAGCUCUGAGAGUCGAGUUGUUUCCGAAUGGACCAAGAUCUGCUGUAACCUGCAGUUCUCAGGAAGGGUGUGCAUGCUGGUAACCACCAAUGAGCAAAAUGCAAAGAGUUUCACACACCAAUCUGUGAAGAUUUACCUGUUUUUCUCUCUUGGGAUAUUGACCAUUCAUUCAUUCCCUGAGAAGAAAAUCCUGUUUAAAGAAGGACUGUGGCCAAGACCCAGUCCAGGACCUUGGAGCUAAGACUGUUCAGGGAAGGAACUGUGGCCUUGGCAACAAAACCUUGUACAGAAGAACUAACUUGAGCUAAAUUUCCUAGCAACAGAGUAAUUUAUUUUCCUCCAUAGAAAGAACAAAUAACACUGAUGGACCAUUUGUCUUAAGCCAAAAAAAGGUAAAGCAUAUCUGACUUUUAUGUCAUUUGCCAUACCCACAGGAGCUGCUUUGCUUCAUUGCU